UGGGGAAUCUUGCACAAUGGGGGAAACCCUGAUGCAGCGACGCCGCGUGAGCGAUGAAGCCCUUCGGGGUGUAAAGCUCUUUCGACGGGAACGAUAAUGACGGUACCCGGAGAAGAAGCUGCGGCUAACUACGUGCCAGCAGCCGCGGUAAUACGUAGGCAGCGAGCGUUGUUCGGAGUUACUGGGCGUAAAGAGUAUGUAGGCGGUUGCGCAAGUUCGGUGUGAAAUCUCCCGGCUUAACUGGGAGGGUGCGCCGAAGACUGCGUGGCUAGAGUGCGGGAGAGGAGAGCGGAAUUCCUGGUGUAGCGGUGAAAUGCGUAGAUAUUAGGAGGAACACCAGUGGCGAAGGCGGCUUUCUGGACGACAACUGACGCUGAGGCGCGAAAGCGUGGGGAGCAAACAGG
rnacentral:rRNA from 1 species